GAUGAACGCUAGCGAUAGGCUUAACACAUGCAAGUCGAGGGACCGGCGCACGGGUGCGUAACGCGUAUGCAACUUGCCUCACAGAGGGGGAUAACCCGUCGAAAGACGGACUAAUACCGCGUACUGUGAGAUAGGCUGGCGUCCCAUUAGCUAGUUGGUGAGGUAACGGCUCACCAAGGAAACGAUGGGUAGGGGAACUGAGAGGUUGAACCCCCACACUGGUACUGAGACACGGACCAGACUCGUACGGGGGGCAGCAGUGUGGAAUAUUGGUCAAUGGGCGAGAGCCUGAACCAGCCAAGUGGCGUGAAGGAUGACUGUCUAUUGAUGGUAUACUUCUGUUGUGGAGGAAUAUGUACCCUACGAAUAAGCAUCGGCUAACUCCGUGCCAGCAGCCGCGGUAAUUC
rnacentral:rRNA from 1 species